AUUGAACGCUGGCGGCAGGCCUAACACAUGCAAGUCGAACGGUAACAGGAAGAAGCUUGCUUCUUUGCUGACGAGUGGCGGACGGGUGAGUAAUGUCUGGGAAACUGCCUGAUGGAGGGGGAUAACUACUGGAAACGGUAGCUAAUACCGCAUAACGUCGCAAGACCAAAAAGGGGGACCUUCGGGCCUCUUGCCAUCGGAUGUGCCCAGAUGGGAUUAGCUAGUAGGUGGGGUAACGGCUCGCCUAGGCGACGAUCCCUAGCUGGUCUGAGAGGAUGACCAGCCACACUGGAACUGAGACACGGUCCAGACUCCUACGGGAGGCAGCAGUGGGGAAUAUUGCACAAUGGGCGCAAGCCUGAUGCAGCCAUGCCGCGUGUAUGAAGAAGGCCUUCGGGUUGUAAAGUACUUUCAGCGGGGAGGAAGGGAGUAAAGUUAAUACCUUUGCUCAUUGACGUUACCCGCAGAAGAAGCACCGGCUAACUCCGU
rnacentral:rRNA from 1 species